CGGUAAUACCAGCUCUCCGAGUGGUAGGGAUGAUUAUUGGGCUUAAAGCGUCCGUAGCCGGCUUAGCAAGUCUCCUGUCAAAUUCAGCGACCUAAUCGUUGAGCCGCGGGAGACACUACUAGGCUAGGAGGCGGGAGAGGCCGACGGUAUUCUCGGGGUAGGGGUGAAAUCCUAUAAUCCCGGGAGGACCACCAGUGGCGAAGGCUGUCGGCUAGAACGCG
rnacentral:rRNA from 1 species